GUGGUCCCAUUAUUUACUGGGUCUUGACAAAUUUUUUUAUCUUUGCCCAUUUUUCAUGGUAUUGGAUAUUUGGAGUACCAAAGUUGCAUGAGUAUACCAUUGUUAAUCUCAAUUUAGAACUGACCUGUUAGUUUAAAUACGUUAUUUUUACAUGUCAAGUUUUGAACAUUAUUGUUCUGAGUCUAGUGCUUUGAGCUGAAUCUCUUGCUAUAUAUAACUGUGUUGUGUUGAAUCUCUUUCUUAUAUUUUCUGUUUUUCUGUAUAUAUUUUUUUGCUACUGUGCCUUUGAUUUGUGUUAUGUAUGACAUUGUUAUUUUGAAUUUAUCAAGUGCUCACUCCUAAGUGUCUUCUUUAAAAUCAUAGUGCUCGCAUUUUAAUCAUUAGUUUACAACCCAAGUGCUAAACACAAAUUUCUAAAUUUAUUUGCUGAAUGUCUAAGUGCUACCUUUUUACAUCAUCUUAAAAAUAAGAUUUUAUGGUACAAUCCUAAAAAAAAUAUAUGUUUUAUAUCUAUGAAGCACUUUGCUUCUGGCAUUGACCGUAUGAAUACUUCUUUCUGUCACUGUAGACAAGCUGGAUCCUUGCAUAUAGUUUCAAUUAAUCACUUUUUUUCCAAAAGCUACGUUGUUUUUGCAUUUUAUAAGAUGUUUAUUUAUAAUACGAAUCAAAACUGUUUUCUUUAUAAAUUCAUAUUCAAGGGUCAUUUCUGUUUAAAGACUAAGCAUUUU
rnacentral:lncRNA from 1 species